rnacentral:lncRNA from 1 species
UUUCUACAGUGUGUGUGUGUGUAUACAUCGAUUAUGCUUUCUUCAGGUGGGUGUGUGUAUACGCAUUGCUUUCUCAGGUGUGUGUGUGUAUACAGCAGUUGCUUCUCCGUUGUGUGUGUGUGUGUAUACAGUGAUAUGCUUUCUCAGGUGUGGUGUAUCUGCAGUGAUAUGUUUUAUCAGGUGUGUGGUGUGUGUAUACAGCGAUAUGCUUUUCUCAGGUGUGUGUGUGUGUGUAUACAGUGAUAUGCUUUCUCAGGUGUGUGUGUGUGUAUACAGCGAUGCUUUCUCAGGUGUGUGUGUGGUAUACAGCGAUAGCUUUCUCAGGGUGUGUGUGUUCAGCAUAGUUUCUCAGGUGUGGUGUUGUAUACAGCGGUAUGCUUUCUCAGGUGUGUGUGUGUUACAGCAUAUGCUUUCUCAGGGUGUGUGUUGAUACAGCGGUAUGCUUUCUCAGGUGUGUGUGUGUGUGUUACAGCAGAUAUGCUUUCUCAGGUGUGUGUGUUGUAUACACGAUUGCUUUCUCAGGUGUGUGUGUGUAUACAGCGAUAUGCUUUCUCAGGUGUGUGUGUGUGUGUAUACAGCAGUCUGCUUUCUCAGCCCUGGGUCAGACUGAGUGGAGGUUACAAGAAGAGCAGAACAGUCAGGAAGUGAGACUGAUAUCACCAUAGUAAGUAGUGU